rnacentral:rRNA from 1 species
UACGUAGGGGGCAAGCGUUGUCCGGAAUCAUUGGGCGUAAAGCGCGUGUAGGCGGCUGAGUAAGUCUGCUCUGAAAGCCCGGGGCUCAACCCCGGGAGGCGGGUGGAUACUGCUCAGCUCGAGUCCGGAAGAGGAGUGUGGAAUUCCUGGUGUAGCGGUGAAAUGCGCAGAUAUCAGGAGGAACACCCGUGGCUAAGGCGGCUCUCUAGUACGGUACUGACGCUGAGACGCGAAAGCGUGGGGAGCGAACAGG